AGUGUAGGCAUACAUGAUCCUAUCAUGUAAGUAGCAUAAAUCAUCAGUGAAAAAGUUAAUAUUUAACUCAGAAAGAAUUCUGUACAUUGAGUUUUCGAGAGAUACAAACCCUAGAGAUAUUCUUUGAUUAUUAUGGAACAAUCCUGAAUGGUGCCAUAAAAUGCUAGGUAAUGCCACUUUAGGAGCUUUGGACCAAUCAUUUUAUCUUUCUUGGUUUUAGUCUGAUUAUCAAUAGAUAAUGUGGCUAAAGAAGAUAGCUUCUUAUUCUGUGUAUCUUCCAGCUAGAAAAUUGUAUGGCUAUUCAAUGUGAAAUUUGGGGAGCAUCUCAUUUUCUGGAAUUCCAUGCUUGCACGUCAGCAGUUUCACUCUGCUUCUUGUGUUGUGGCAAACUUUGGCUCCCACUUUCAGUGAGCACCAUCAUGUUUUUGAUAUCCCAGCAACCAAAUGAAAAAAGAAUGCUCAAAGGCAGUGGGGGAGAAGAAUAUCUUAGCGCAGAAAAGGGCAAACUUCCUUUCUAUUCCUGAAGCCACACAGUGUCUCAUCCUCGAAAUCUGACUGUUUAAUGUAAAAUCUAGGUAGUAAAGACAAGAAGACACAUUUUGCAUCUUUUUUUGUCUUUUUAUUUGUGUGUUCCCACGAGCCAAAUAGGGUAAAUACAUAUAUAAGAUUCUGAAGAGUGAUUGAGAAUAAAAGCACAAAAUGAAGGAGGGCCCUUUUUGAAUUUUGGAAAAUUCUGUUUUAUUCAUUGAAACAGAAAUGAAGCAAACUUCACAAAAAUUUCUGUGAUAUAUUAAUGAUAUGGUAAUUACAUCUUAAAUUUAUAUGGUAAUAGUUCUGUAUAUAUGAUCAAAUUUAAGUGUGAAAUAUUUUUAGUGACUAAAAUGAUGGCAAACUGAGUCAAUUGGUAAAAUCUUUUUAGGUUCUUUUUAUUCAAUAAAGUGAUAACCAUCCUUAAUAUGCCACUCAAGGUUGAAGAAGAAAUGAAAAAGCACGAAAGUAAUAAUGUGGGAAUACCAGAAAACCUGACUAAUGGUGUCGCUGCUGGCAAUGGUGAUGAUGGAUUAAUUCCUCAAAGGAAGAGCAGAACACCUGAAAAUCAGCAAUUUCCUGACACUGAAAGUGAAGAGUAUCACAGAAUUUGCAAAUUACUUUCUGACUACAAAGAAAAACAGAUGCCAAAAUACUCUUCUGAAAACAGCAACCCAGAACAAGACUUAAAGCUGACAUCAGAGGAAGAGUCUCAAAGGCUUAAAGGAAGUGAAAAUAGCCAGCCAGAGAAAAUGUCUCAAGAACCAGAAAUAAAUAAAGGUGGUGAUAGAAAGGUAUACUUUUAUAUUCAAAUGUUUGUGUUGAAUUAGAUUUUUACAUUAUGUUGUUUAACAAAGUGUAGUAAAUGUAGGCAUACAUGAUCCUAUCAUGUAAGUAGCAUAAAUCAUCAGUGAAAAAUUUAAUACUUAACUCAGAAUUCUAUACAUUGAAUUUUAAAGAGAUGCAAACCCUAGAGAUAUUCUUUCCUUAUUAUGGAAUAGUCCCGAAUGGUGCCGUAAAGUGCUAAGUAAUGCCACUUUAGGAGCUUUGGAUCAAUAAUUUUAUUUUUCUUGGUUUUAGUCUGAUUAUCAAUAGAAAAUGUGGCUAAAGUAGAUAAUUUUUUAUUCUGUGUAUUUUCCAGCUAGAAAAUUUUAUGGCUAUCGAAUGUGAAAUCUGGGGAGCAACUCAUUUUCUGGAAUUCCAUGAUUGUACCUCAGCAGUUUCACUCUGCUCCUUAUAUUGUGGGAAACUUUGGUUCCCAUGUUUCAGUGAGCACCUUCGUGUUUUUGAUAUCCCAGGAACCUAAUGAAAAAAGAUGCUCAAAGGCAGUGGGGGAGAAGAAUGUCUUAGCGCAGAAAAGGGCAAACUUCCUUUCUAUUCCCGAAGCCCCACGGUGUCUCAUCCUCUAAAAUGACUGUUUAAUGUAAAAUCUAGGUGGUAAAGAGGGAUGAAGACACAUUUUGCAUCUUUGUCUUUUUAUGUAUGUGUUCCCACCAGUCAAAUGGGGGUAAAUACAUAUAUAAGAUUCUGAAGAGUGAUUGAGAAUAAAAGCACAAAAUAGAGGAGGGCCCUUUUUGAAUUUUGGAAAAUUCUGUUUUACUCAUUGAAACAGAAAUGAAGCAAACUUUACAAAAAUUUCUGUGAUAUAUUAGUGAUAUGAUAAGUGCAUCUUAAAAUUAUAUGGUAAUAGUUCUGUGUAUAUGAUCCAAUUUAAGAGUGAGAUGUUUUUAAUGACUAAAAUAAUGAUAAACUGGUCAAGUGAUAAAAUCAAUUAAAAAUAUUCUUUCUAUUCAAUAAAGGGAUAACUAUCCUUAAUAUCAAACUUUCAUUCAAGGUUGAAGAAGAAAUGAAGAAGCACGGAAGUACUCAUAUGGGAUUCCCAGAAAACCUGACUAACGGUGCCACUGCUGGCAAUGGUGAUGAUGGAGUAAUUCCACCAAGGAAAAGCAGAACACCUGAAAGCCAGCAAUUUCCUGACACUGAGAAUGAACAGUAUCACAGGUAAGUCUGUGGCAACAUUGAACAGGAGAUAACUAUAUGCUGUCAAUCUAAUUCAUGAUGAACAAAUUUUAUACUUUUGCUAGGAUAUUCAGCCUUGCCUGUUAAUCAGAAAAAUGAAAAUCAGUAAACAAUGAGUUACCAUUUUUUCCAGUCAUUAAUUUAUUUGAAAAAUAGCCAGCAUUGGCAAAUGUGAGGGAAAAGACAUUUUCUUUUCUUUUCAGUGAACUUUUAUUUUAGCUUCAGGGUACAUGUGCAGGUUUAUUAUAUAGGUAAACUGUAUCAUGGAGGUUUGGGGUACAGAUUAUUUCAUCAGCCACAUAAUAAGCAAAAUACUCGAAAGGUAGUUUUUUGGUCGUCUCCCUCCUGCCAUGCUCCACCCUCAAGUAGGCCCCAGUGUCUGUUAUUCUCCUCUUUGUGUCCAUGAGUUCUCAUGUUUAGUUCCCACUAAUGAGUAAGUAUAUGUGGCAUUUGAUUUUCUGUUGCUGCAUUAGUUUGCUUAGGAUAAUGGCCUCCAGCUCCAUCUGUGUUGCUGCAAGGGAAAUGGUUUCACUGAAAAAGACAUUUCAUACACUGUUGGCAAAUACAUUUUGAACAUUAAUUUAGUAGCAUAUUCACACACACACAGAUAUAUAACAGAGUAAGGAUGUAUAAUACAUGUAAAGGAUAUUUGUGUAGAUAUGUUACAUACAUACUUACAUAUAAGGACAUAUAUUAUAGCAUUAUUAUAUUAAAAAUUUGGAGCUAGUCUACUUCCUUAUCAAUAGGAAAUAGCUCAAUUUCCAUACCCCCAAAAUAAUGUAUUAUGCAACCAUUUUUGAAAAAUGAGGUUAGAUCUAGGGUAUACUGAUUAUUUCACAGAUAAAAUGUAUUUAAAGCAUUUAGUUUGAUGACACAUCUUAAGAGUUCUUGUUAAAAUUCUUGUAAUAUCUGCUGUGUUGGAAAUGGAAGCUACAUGCUACAUUGACACUGUAACUUGUUAGCAACAAGAUUGCUGAUUAUUAAAUUUUUGUUGUCAGUGCCUGAGUGCUGAAAUAUUGGACCCUCAGUCUGAAUAUUGCCAAGGGAUUGUACAUGGGGAUCUAUAUUUAAUAUAAACAUUUCAGUGUAUUGGGUAAAACUUUUAUUAAAAUACAUGAAAGAUCUUUGAUCUACUAAACCAAGAGUUGGCCAGCUUUUUCUGCAAAGAACCAAUUAGUAAAUAUUUUAGGCUUUGUGGACUACGUAUAUUUAUUUUCUUGAGACAGGGUCUGGCUCUGUUUCCCAGGCUGGAGUGCAGUUGUGUGAUCAUGGUUGUGUGAUCACUGCAGCCUCGACUUUCUGGGCUCUAGUGAUCCUCCCACCUCAGCCUCUCUACUAGCUGGGACCACAGGUGUGCAACAUCACACCCAGCUAAUUGACACUAUGGACUGUAAAGUGAAUAAGCAUGGCUGUGUUCCAGGAUACUUGACUUACAAAAACAGUCAGUGGGCCGGAUUUGGCCCACAGAUGCUUAUUUGCUGACCCUUGUGCUAAAAGGAAGGUGCUGCUAAUGCAUUGACUCUUAUAUGUAAAAGUGUCCUGCAUGGGUGACAUUAACUUUCCUUUGAGAAAAGGAUAUAUUUGAGUAUUCACCUCACUAUAUUUUUCCACAGUGACUUCAUGUAAUUUUAAAAACUUCAUUUAUAAAAUAAGAUUAUUUUCUGCAUUUCUCUCACUUUAUUCCUGUUAAUAGAACUCAGUAUUUUACUGUGAUCAAUUACUUUCUGUAUUUGAUGAGUGUCAACUGUCCUAGAAUUGGCUGAUUUUUAUCAAGCAAGAAAUAUUCUUGUUGAGACCUUUAGUAUUUCUUGGUCUUUAUGUAUAAGCAUGAACAAAAUGAUAAUCAGCUUAUGUAAUCUAGAAAUGUUCAAGGGGCCUUUAAAACCUUGGUCUGGCAUUUAAUGCCACAUGUGUAUAAUUUUUAUAACCUUUGAAAUAUAUAAUUGUUACAUAGCAUUUGAAACCUCCACCUGUUAUGUAAAAUUUGGAAACUAUUUCUUGUCUAUCACUUUUCCAUGACUGUGGACGAAAAUUACAUCAUUCUCAGUCAUGAGUGUUAAGUAUGUUGUCCUUUAAGUAACUGUCUACACUCACGAACUCAAAUUUUCUUUCCAUUCACUCUUGAUCUCAAUGCCAGUAAGUCUUCAAUUUCAGUACUCCUCCAGAGUUGUUUUUCUCGAGGUUAUCACUACUUUUUUCUGUAAAUAAAUCUAUGCAUUUUUUCUUACACCUCAUUUUAUUUAAUGGGUCAGCAAUAUUUGAGCCAAUGGAGGGCAUCUUCUCCCUAACGGCGUCUUCAUUUGUCUUUCAGGACCUCACUCCCUCAGGCUUUUACUCCUGCCUUUCUAGUCCAUUCAUCAUGGUCUGUUUUGCUUGCUCCUCCUCAUCUUUCUCCUUUUGGACAUUGUUGUUUCUCAUGGCUCCGUCCUCAAUCUUCUUUCUCAUGACUUUUUUUUUUUUUUUAAGAUGAAGUCUGGCUUUGUCCCCUAGGCUCGUGUUCAUUGGCACGAUCUUGGCUCAUUGCAACCUCUGCCUCCUGGCUUCCAGCGCUUCUCCUGCCUCAGCCUCCUGAGUAGCUGGGAUUACAGGUGUGUGACACCAUACCUGGCUAAUUUUUGUAUUUUUAGUAGUGACAGGGUUUCCCCAUGUUGGCCAGGCUGACCUCAAACUCCUGAUGUCAGGUGAUCUGCCCGCCUUGGCCUCACGAAGCGUUGCGAUUACAGGCCUGAGCCACACUGCCUGGCCCUUCAUGACUUUUUCUACUGUAUAUAUGCUAGUGAUUUCCAAAUGCAUGUCUCCAACUCAGAUCUCACUCCUUAAUCCAGAUCUCUGUAUCAGCCUGGCUACUUGACAGGCCUAGCGUAUCAGACGUAGCUGCCUAAUAAAUAGUUAUUUGAUUAGCUGUUGGGUAUCACACACUUGUCAGAUCCAAAAUUGGGCUACUGAUGGCCUUCCUGAAAUCUACACCUCAUGUAGUCUUUCCUACUUUGGUUAAUGGCAACUCUUCCAGUUGCUCUGCCAAAAACCUCGGUGUCAUUCUAGACUCAUCUUUGUCUCUGUCUUGACACUUCACAUCUAAUCUCUCAGUAAAUCUCAUCAGGUCUACCUGAAGAAUAUGUCCAGAAGCCAGUCAUAUCUUGUACAUCUGAGCCACCAUCAUCUGCCGUCUAGAUGAGUGUCAUAGACUGGGAAUUGAUAGUCCUGGUUUUUAAAAACUUCCCCUUUCAUCAAUUCUUAACUCAGUGGAUGUAUUUAAAACAUAAGUCAAAUUGUGUCAUUCCCCUGCCCCAGCCCUUCUGAUUGCCUCCCAUUUCACGCUGA
rnacentral:lncRNA from 1 species